rnacentral:tRNA from 1 species
GCCCGGGUGUCGGAACUGGCAGACGACGGCGCCUUAAAAGCGCCCGCUCCUCACGGAGCAUGUGGGUUCGAAUCCCACCCCGGGCA